UGAGGAAUAUUGGUCAAUGGGCGGAAGCCUGAACCAGCCAUGCCGCGUGAAGGAAUAAGGCCCUAUGGGUCGUAAACUUCUUUUGUACGGGAGCAAUAAGUCUCGCGCGUGGGACGAUGAGAGUAUGCGUAGAAUAAGCAUCGGCUAACUCCGUGCCAGCAGCCGCGGUAAGUACGGGGGAUGCAAGCGUUAUCCGGAUUCAUUGGGUUUAAAGGGUGCGUAGGCGGCUUGGCAAGUCAGCGGUGAAAGGCCCGGGCUCAACCCGGAAAGUGCCGUUGAUACUGUUAGGCUUGAAUGCGGAUGCUGUGGGAGGAAUGAGUGGUGUAGCGGUGAAAUGCAUAGAUAUCACUCAGAACACCGAUUGCGAAGGCAUCUCACAAAUCCGUGAUUGACGCUGAGGCACGAAAGCGU
rnacentral:rRNA from 1 species